AGUGAACGCUGGCGGUAGGCCUAACACAUGCAAGUCGAACGGCAGCACAGUAAGAGCUUGCUCUUACGGGUGGCGAGUGGCGGACGGGUGAGGAAUACAUCGGAAUCUACUUUUUCGUGGGGGAUAACGUAGGGAAACUUACGCUAAUACCGCAUACGACCUACGGGGGAAAGCAGGGGAUCUUCGGACCUUGCGCGAUUGAAUGAGCCGAUGUCGGAUUAGCUAGUUGGCGGGGUAAAGGCCCACCAAGGCGACGAUCCGUAGCUGGUCUGAGAGGAUGAUCAGCCACCCUGGAACUGAGACACGGUCCAGACUCCUACGGGCGGCAGCAGUGGGGAAUAUUGGACAAUGGGCGCAAGCCUGAUCCAGCCAUACCGCGUGGGUGAAGAAGGCCUUCGGGUUGUAAAGCCCUUUUGUUGGGAAAGAAAAGCAGCAGGUUAAUACCCCGCUGUUCUGACGGUACCCAAAGAAUAAGCACCGGCUAACUUCGUG
rnacentral:rRNA from 1 species